GGGGGAUUUGGGAAUGGGGGCGGGGGUUUAUGAAUGGGGGCGGGGAAUGAGGGGGGAUUUGUCAAUGGGGGCGGGGAUUUGGGGGUGGGGGGGGUGUGAAUGGGGGGGCAAUGGGGGGGGAUUUGUGAAUGGGGGCAGAGAUUUGGGGAUGGGGGGGGAAUGGGAGGGGGGUGAAUGAGGGGGGAUUUGUGAAUGGGGGGGUGUGAAUGGGGGGGUGUGAAUGGGGGCAGGGAUUUGUGAAUGGAGGGGGAGUGAGAAUGGGGGGGGAAUGGGAAGGAGGUGAAUGGGGGGGGAAUGUGAAUGGGGGGGAGAGAGGGAGGGAAUGUGAAUGGGGGGGAGGGAAUUGUGAAUGGGAGGGAGGGGGAGGGGGGAAUUGUGGGUGGGGGGGAGGAAGGGGGGGGUGGAAUUGUGAAUGGGGGUGGUGGGAGAGGGAGGAAUCGUGAAUGGAAUGUGAGCGGGGAAGGAAAAAGUGAAUGGAGGGAGACGGGAACAGAAAGCAGUUCUGAAUGGAAUGGAAUGGAAUGGAAUGGGGUGGGGUGGGGGUGGGGAGGGGUGGGGGUCCUGGCAGCUCACAGAGGUGGGAGGGGGGGGUUGGAAAAGUCCUGGCAGCUCACAAAGGAAUGGGGGUGUUGGGAAGGAAAGGUCCUGAAAGGUCACAGAGCCACGGGGUGGGUGGGUGGGGUGGGAAAGGUCCUGACAGAUCACAGAGAUGUGGAAUGAAUGGGUUGGGAUGGAAAGGUCCUGACAGAUCACAGAGCUAUGGGGUGGCUGGGUUGGGUUGGGAAGGUCCUGACAGGUCACAAAGGCAUUGGACUGUUGGAUUGGGAUGGAAAGGUCCUGGCUGGUCACAGAGAUGUGGAAUGAAUGGGUUGGGAUGGAAAGGUCCUGACAGAUCACAGAGUUAUGGGAUGGUUGGAUUGGGUUGGAAAGGUCCUUACAGACCACAGAGAUGUGGGAUGGUUGGAUUGGGAAGGUCCUGGCAGGUCACAGAGAUGUGGGAUGAAUGGGUUGGGAUAGAAAGGGUCCUGACAGAUCACAGAGCUAUGGGGUGGUUGGGUUGGAUUAGAAAGGUCCUAACAGAUCACAAAGGCAUUGGACAGUUGGGUUGGGAUGGAAAGGUCCUUACAGAUCACAGAGCCAUUGGAUGGUUGGGUUGGGUUGGAAAGGUCCUAACAGGUCACAGAGAUGUGGGAUGGAUGGGUUGGGAUGGAAAGGUCCUGACAGAUCACAGAGAUG
rnacentral:lncRNA from 1 species